rnacentral:rRNA from 1 species
AGAGUUUGAUCAUGGCUCAGGACGAACGCUGGCGGCGUGCCUAAUACAUGCAAGUCGAGCGAAUCGAUGGGAGCUUGCUCCCUGAGAUUAGCGGCGGACGGGUGAGUAACACGUGGGCAACCUGCCUAUAAGACUGGGAUAACUUCGGGAAACCGGAGCUAAUACCGGAUACGUUCUUUUCUCGCAUGAGAGAAGAUGGAAAGACGGUUUACGCUGUCACUUAUAGAUGGGCCCGCGGCGCAUUAGCUAGUUGGUGAGGUAAUGGCUCACCAAGGCGACGAUGCGUAGCCGACCUGAGAGGGUGAUCGGCCACACUGGGACUGAGACACGGCCCAGACUCCUACGGGAGGCAUCAGUAGGGAAUCUUCCGCAAUGGACGAAAGUCUGACGGAGCAACGCCGCGUGAACGAAGAAGGCCUUCGGGUCGUAAAGUUCUGUUGUUAGGGAAGAACAAGUACCAGAGUAACUGCUGGUACCUUGACGGUACCUAACCAGAAAGCCACGGCUAACUACGUGCCAGCAGCCGCGGUAAUACGUAGGUGGCAAGCGUUGUCCGGAAUUAUUGGGCGUAAAGCGCGCGCAGGUGGUUCCCUUAAGUCUGAUGUGAAAGCCCACGGCUCAACCCGUGGAGGGUCAUU